CUGGCUCAGAACGAACGCUGGCGGCGCGUUUAAGCAUGCAAGUCGAGCGGCAAGGGCCUUCGGGCCCCUAGAGCGGCGGACGGGUGAGUAACACGUGGACAAUCUGCCCCCCGGCCCGGGAUAGCCCAGGGAAACCUGGAUUAAUACCGGAUGAGACGGGACCCGCGAUGGCGGGACCCGGGAAAGGCGCUGCGGCGCCGCCGGGGGAUGAGUCUGCGUCCCAUUAGCUAGACGGCGGGGUAACGGCCCACCGUGGCGACGAUGGGUAGCCGGCCUGAGAGGGUGGACGGCCACAUUGGAACUGAGACACGGUCCAGACUCCUACGGGAGGCAGCAGCUAAGAAUCUUCCGCAAUGGGCGAAAGCCUGACGGAAGCGACGCCGCGUGAACGAAGAAGGCCGUGAGGUUGUAAAGUUCUUUUCGGGAGGGGGAACAACCGUGGCAGGGAAUGGCCGCGGGAUGACGUGAAUCCCGGAAUAAGCCCCGGCUAACUACGUGCCAGCCGCGGC
rnacentral:rRNA from 1 species